UUCGGGGACAUUGGUGACAGGUGGUGCAUGGUUGUCGUCAGCUCGUGUCGUGAGAUGUUGGGUUAAGUCCCGCAACGAGCGCAACCCUUGUCUUUAGUUGCCAUCAUUAAGUUGGGCACUCUAGAGAGACUGCCAGGGAUAACCUGGAGGAAGGUGGGGAUGACGUCAAAUCAUCAUGCCCCUUAUGCUUAGGGCUACACACGUGCUACAAUGGGUAGUACAGAGGGUUGCCAAGCCGUAAGGUGGAGCUAAUCCCUUAAAGCUACUCUCAGUUCGGAUUGUAGGCUGAAACUCGCCUACAUGAAGCUGGAGUUACUAGUAAUCGCAGAUCAGAAUGCUGCGGUGAAUGCGUUCCCGGGUCUUGUACACACCGCCCGUCACACCACGGGAGUUGGAGACGCCCGAAGCCGAUUAUCUAACCUUUUGGAAGAAGUCGUCGAAGGUGGAAUCAAUAACGGGGGUGAAGUCGUAACAAGGUAGCCGUAUCGGAAGGUGCGGCUGGAUCACCUCCUUUCUAAGGA
rnacentral:rRNA from 1 species